UUAUUUGAAGCGGGGUACAACCCCUAAUACUGGGUUUAAUCUAGAUACACUAAAUUAAGUGGGCCUAAAAGCAGCCAUCUUCCAAAAAGCGUUAAAGCUUGAUAUAUUCAUAUCUUCAAUUCCAUAAUUUUUACUUAACCCUUCAUUACUACUGAACUAUUUUAUACCCCUAUAAAAGUCAUUAUGCUAGAACUAGUAACAAGAAAUAGCCUUUCUCCUAAAUGUAUGUUUGAACCAGAGUGGACUCUCCACUGGUGACUAACGCAAAUGUAAAUAUCAUAGUACACACGGCUAGAAAACCCUAUGUUUACCAAACGUCAACCUUACACUAGAACAUUACAGGAAAGAUUAAAAGAGAAAGAAGGAACUCGGCAAAUCACAGUCCCGCCUGUUUACCAAAAACAUCGCCUCUUGACUAAAUAUAAGAGGUCCAGCCUGCCCAGUGACAUAGUUUAACGGCCGCGGUACCCUAACCGUGCGAAGGUAGCAUAAUCACUUGUUCUUUAAAUAAGGACUUGUAUCAACGGCAUCACGAGGGCUGUACUGUCUCCUUUCUCCAAUCAGUGAAACUGAUCUCCCCGUGAAGAAGCGAGGAUGAACCU
rnacentral:rRNA from 1 species